rnacentral:misc_RNA from 1 species
UUUGGUUUGUUACGUGUGGUUGGCUGCGGCGUUUGCAACAACUUCCAUGCUUUCAGACCUCUUCAGUYGUGCGGCAAGGCUUGUAUCGCCUUGAGCGUAUUGUGGGUUUUCUGUGUUGGCUACCUAAUCAAUGGUAUCGGUUGGAUUGAUCAAUGUUUCAUUUCGUCUACCGUCGCAUUCGCGGCGUGAGAUGAACCUUGAUGCGGUCUCUUUGAUCCACCUCGUCGAAGCGCWUGCUUUGGCGUUGUGGCACAUUGAGCAUUGCUUGGUCUCUUGUAUACGGAACAUAUAGUGGGCAUGGAUCUAACGAUUCUCGUUUGCCCUCAUAUUAGCGUAACGCUUCUCUUACACGACUUGCACCACGUUUUAG